GAAGAAAAUAAUCUGAAGGCAGAACCUUCAUCUACUCCUCCAGAAAAAUAAAUCAGAGCUAUGUGAAAAAUAUUUGUAAACACCCUUUAAGUGGAAACCUGAUUUCCAGCCUCCUACCUGGAUUGCUCCCAAAUAGGGCAGAGUGUGCCUUGGAGAUGGAAAAGGCUGUGACCGCUUGGAAACAGACAUCUUCAUAAACAGAUUGGCCAUGAUGAGGAGUGGAUUCCGUAUUGGCAGAGGACAGAUGGAGAGUCAAAACAAAAGAGCUGUUUGGAAAAGUUGGCAUGACAUUACCUUUUAUUAGGGGUGGCAGACAGCAAAAUGAGGAAAAAGGAGAAGUCAGAGACAAAUUCUGAGACUCUGUAGGAAAGGAAAAUUUCUGGUGCUGUUUUGUGCUCCCACGUCUACCUUUUCCUGCCUUGUUACAAGCAGUAAGUGAGAUCACAGAUAAGGAGUCCAGCAGACAUGAGCACUGCUUCAGGCCACGUUAAGUACUGACAAGGUAUUCUCCUGAAUAUUCACUUGAUCAGCUGCAGUGCAGAACAAUUGGUAUGUGGAACAACCUCUCCAACUCCAGAAUAAACACAGAGGGAAUACCUUAGUAAACCUUUGCAGAUGAAUUUAACUUGUUCCCAGGGAGAUGGAUAAAAACAGUGGAACUGUGGAUUCUUUCCUUGGAUACCAUCAUCCAAGUGUGGAUGUUAGCUUCAUAAAAGCAGGAGAACUAUGAUGUCAGGUCAUACAGCAGGAUUGGUAAAUGGUUUGUUUUGGUUUGAAGGUUCUUGGGUGUUUGUAGCUUUAAUUUAAUUUAAUGGACACUUAAGAAAACAAUGCCUUGAGUCUCUGACAACUGUUCUAGGCCUGGUUUUAAGCCAAACCUUUAAUUACCUUCCUGUCUUCUGACUGUUGACUCUACUUUUCGGCAGCAAAACAUAGCUCUAUUUUGCAUUCAGUACUGCUUGUUAGAUCAGGAUCUUGCAAGUGAAAUACUGUUUUUUCUGCUGUUUCAAAGUCAAGUAAUCCUUAGGAAUAUAAGCUAAUAUAGGCAGCACCUUCUUCACAUGAAUCAGUCUCCAGGUGUCAAAACAGAGAACAAAUUUUUCAUGUGAACAAUGGCCAAACUUGAUGGUUUGUGUUUUGAUUCAAAUAAAAG